rnacentral:rRNA from 1 species
UACGUAGGGUGCAAGCGUUAAUCGGAAUUACUGGGCGUAAAGCGUGCGCAGGCGGCUAUGCAAGACAGAUGUGAAAUCCCCGGGCUCAACCUGGGAACUGCAUUUGUGACUGCAUGGCUAGAGUACGGCAGAGGGGGAUGGAAUUCCGCGUGUAGCAGUGAAAUGCGUAGAUAUGCGGAGGAACCCCGAUGGCGAAGGCAAUCCCCUGGGCCUGUACUGACGCUCAUGCACGAAAGCGUGGGGAGCAAACAGG